CAGCCGCCGCGGUAAUACGAAGGGGGCUAGCGUUGCUAGGAAUUACUGGGCGUAAAGGGAGCGUAGGCGGACAUUUAAGUCAGGGGUGAAAUCCCAGAGCUCAACUCUGGAACUGCCUUUGAUACUGGGUGUCUUGAGUGUGAUAGAGGUAUGUGGAUCUCCGAGUGUAGAGGUGAAAUUCGUAGAUAUUCGGAAGAACACCAGUGGCGAAGGCGACAUACUGGAUCAUUACUGACGCUGAGGCUCGAAAGCGUGGGGAGCAAACAGGAUUAGAUACCCGGGUAGUCCCUGUCUCUUAUAC
rnacentral:rRNA from 1 species